GGAGAAGGGCCUCCCCCAGGCGGGAGGGUUCUUGACCCAGUCGCGAGAAAGAAUUCAAGGACUAGUCAAACAGUAGCAGAGAAUUUACUGUAAAGAAGCGAAAGAACGCGCUCAAGCCGGGAGUGCUCUGCUCUAGGAGCUGCAGGGGCCCUGCCGGCUGGGGCUGCUUCACUAAGCCUGGGCCCCCCUUCCUUCCCCGCCAGGUGAGUGAGGCCUCUCAGUCCCAGCGCGCUCACUGGUCUCCCUUAUGCGAAAAGAGGGAUGGAAAACGACAAGGUUUUCCUGGCUGGUGGUCCUAGGAGUGGGAGCUGCUGGGGAGGGGUGGGUGAAGGGCUGCGGUCAGGCAGCGGCUGGGCCUUUUGUCAUCCGAUCUCCCGUACUGGGGGUCCUCUGCUGGGGGCUCCCCUCGUCCUCCCCCGGCCCGGCUCCCUGCCUGCUCCUGCCCCUCCGCCCUCAUCCCCCUCAGGAGCUCCGUCCUUAUUAGGGGUGACGAGGACGCCGUCUCCUGAGCCGCUUCCUGCCGUCACUGGCCGUUGUCCUGCCUGUCCCGGGAGUGGGAUUCGUAGAUCUAAAGACCCCGGAGGCCCCGCGGGGCCUGCGUUUGGGCCUGGAGGAAACCCUGGCGGGACCCGCGUCCUCAGCGAGCUGCGGUCUGGAUUUACACCUUCAGGGAGCAGGUGGAAUAAGCAGGGCCUCAAGGUCAAGGGCAGAGCGGCCAGAACCAAGGUUCAAGGGGGGAAGGAACCACGGGGGUGGGGGGGAGCGGGUUCACCGCCUCCGGGACCCUGGAGGAACAGCCCCGGGUUCCUGGCACUUCGGCUGCUUCUGUGUCGCCGGGAGCGACGGGAGCAGCCGGGGCUUCAGCAGCGGCCUCUAGCGGAGGUGCUGGGAGCAGGAGGCGGGCCCGGGAAGAGGCGGGUUCACCGGGGCCGACUGCCUUCAGCACCCGGGCGUGGCGGGAGGCCUGCGCGCAGGCGGCCCUGCCAGCCCGUGGAUUUUGUCCCGGUGCCCCCGGUUGGGGCGUGGCCCCGAGCGCUCACGUGGAAAAGGUGAACGUUCCUCAAACCUGCUGGAGUUUCUGUGAGAAGCCCGACAAGCACCGAGUCCACAAAGCACAAGAAGAGCAAGGGCUCUACAUGCCUACAGUGGAGUCAUGCCACGAGGCAGAGUGGCUGCGGUGGGCAGGGAAAGCCAAUUUUCCAGAAGAAGGCUGCAACUACAAAGAAGAUUGAGCUGAGGCUUGAAUGCGUGGAGCCAAUUGCAGAGCUAAGAGGAUGGUGGUUCUUAAGAGAUGCAGAAGCGUUGAACUGGGAGCAGACAAGAAGAGAAAGGGCCAGGUGAUCCAGUUUUUUGUCUUUUGUUAUGACAAUACAAUCUUGAAGUUAUGGUCAAAAAAGUACAAAAAUAGAAAAAGAAAACAGAAUUUUAUACAAUCUCCAAAUAUAUAAGUAAAUUACACAUUUAUUUUCUCCUUCGUGUUUUCUCUUUUAGAAAGAAACUGUUUAUCACAAAGAAACUUCAGCACUACCAGAACAAAACUGUUUUUCUAGUAAACCUAAGGAGGACCUAAGCUUCUCAAUGGAAUCAUGUAACCUUCCUAUUAUCACUUUCUAAAUAAUAUUUCCCAUGGUAGUAAACAAAGGUCUAUACAUCUGCAGUAGUCUUAGGAAAUGAAAAACUGUGAUUAUCACAGCAUGUUUUUUCUUUUUUUCUUUUUAGGUACUGGGGCCAGAGAUCGAACCUGGGACCUCUUAUGUUGGAAACUGGUGCGCAACCACUGAGCCACACUGGCUCCCCUGAGUUAGUUUUUUCAUUUGUUUGCUUGUUUGUUUUUGUUUUAGUUGUUUUCUUUGGAGGCACUGGGGACUGAACCCCGGACCUCCCAUGUUAGAAGCAGGCACUCAGCUGCUUGAGCCACAUCCUCUCCCAUAUGCUCAGUAUUUCAUGACACAACAGGUUUUUCUUUGUUUGUUUUUGUUUCUGUUUCAAAAACAACACAGUUUAACACGAUAAAAAGUCUUAUCAGAAUAAAAGAGAAAGUGAAAAAAGAGCAAUAAAACAAAAAUUCUUAUCAGAAAAAAUUUGACUAAAAUUUAAGACAUUGUCAAAGCAACAUCCCAUUUAAACUUUUCCAUAGUUUGUACAAGUGUUUUGAGUUUUCAGUUUUGGAAUAUAGUUUUUCCAUUGUGAAUUAAAAUAUACAUAUAUUGAUAAUGUUACUUUUAUAAGGGUAUAUACUUUAUUUUUUUUAAAGAUCCAUCUCCUAUCUAUUUCUCUCCCCUUUCCCCCCCGGUUGUCCGCUCUCUGUGUCCAUUUGCUGUGCGUUCUUCUGUGACCGCUUCUAUUCAUUGUGUAUGUACUUUAGCACCUCACGUUAUACAAGGUGAAAUGAUCAAUUCUUCUGUAACAGUUUGCAAUUUAAGAUAUCUUUAAGGGUUCAUUAGAAUAUUAAAGCUUGUCCAGUCUGAACAUCAUACUUAAACAGUGCUGUAUUUAUCACAGUGACAAAUAAGUUAGUAGUCAGAAAAAACUUAACUUCCAAACUAGCAGCAGCUAAGCAUUCCAGCACCCCCACCCCAUGCUGAGAUGGCUCCCUCAUGUGCUUGGUCCUUGUCAUUGCUUGUUCUCUGCUUGUUGUUCUUUGUUCAUUGUCUCCUCAUUGUCUGUUUUUUCUUUAGGAUGUACCGGGAACCAAAUCCAGCACCUCCCAUGUGAGAGGCAGGCGUUUGACUGCUUGAGCCACAUCUGCUCCCUCAUUUUUGGUUUUCACUUGUUGUCCGCUCAUUGUCUGUGCAUUCUUUGAUGUCUUCUUUAAGAGGCACCGGGAACCGAACCUGGGAUCUACCAUGUGGGAGGCGAGCACUCAACUGCUUAAGCCACGUCUGCUCCUCUGUAUUUUUAAAAAAUCGUUUAUUAAGGAUAUAAUGAAGCCAUUCUAAUAAAGCACAGAUUCUUUGCUCUUUAUAUAUAGAGAGAUUAUUUCAAAAGGGCUUUUAUAUCCUUCCACUCAAAACAGACUAACCAUUUAUGAAAAGUGUGUCACUUUAACAGAGAGAGAAAGUGGAAUUUUAGUUUUGCAUCAGUACACAAUUCAGUAAGCAAAUCUUAGUUAGCAUAGAUCCUAACAGAUUGAGGUGGCGUC
ensembl:lincRNA